UCCCGCACUCGCGCAUCCCAGCUCCUCCCCUACGCCGCCUCCUCCCAUUCCCUAACCCUAGCUGCUGCCCACACCGCCGCCGUCUCCGUCGCCUAGCCGGCCACCGCGCACGCUCCCUGCCACGCCGCCGCCUCUGCUCGCCUUCGCAACCCCGCAGCAUCUCCUCCCCACCCCCUCGGCACUCAGCAGGAGGAGCGCGGGCGCGGCUCGCGACGGCCCUCACGAGAGAGGUCUCUGCUCUCGGUCAACUCUACCCGCCUCCAUCACCACCCAUCGGCAGGAGGCCCCCGCCACUCCUCCUUCUGCUCCAUCGCGUGGCCAUCACCGAGGCCUCGCCGCGGUCUUGAGGCUGCGAUCCCGUAUGGGGCAGGACGACACCACGCUUGGUGGUGUGAGAUGGCUGCAAAUGCAGAGCACUUCCGAUCUCAUAAGGCAGCAAUCUUCCUGUUCUGUUCUACGCUUGAGUUUGUAUAGGAUACUGUGAUUGGAAACUGCUGGAUCUUGGGUCCCAACUGCAGGAAAUGAUUCCAGAGAAAUAGACUGAGCAGGCAGGAGGAGAAAGUAGAGAGGGAGAUGGGGGAGGGAGAGGAGAUCUCGGCCUGCACAUUGCGUCUCCCACAAGCUACUGCAAAGGGAGAAUUGUAUACCCAACAUCCUUUUCAAAGCCUACAGCAACUGCCUCCCCAACCAAUGCCAACCUGCGGCACCAAGGUCGAUGGUGGAGCUGUGUUCUAAAGUUGGAGUGUGCCCUUUCUUUGGUGCCAUCGUUCUCUCCUUCAUGACCGUCGUCGUCAUGAGCCCAAGUAUCUUUGCUGGGUAUCGUCGGCAUUGGUGGACCUAAUAGGUCCGUCAUACAUCUCCUCUGCUUUUUUCGAUAUGGUCAGAUAGGGUUUGUACAUCUACAUUUUUACUAUCAUAUAUGUUACCUGUGGUAUUGCCGUUCACCUGACAAUCAUUGACAUCAUAUGGUUGUUCUGUGCUUCGUGGUGUUACUAAAAUCUUUAGGAUGCCCUCACUGGUCAGCAUGGUUAGCUUCAGAUACAUAUUAUAGAAAGUCUAGGUACCCUGAUAACUUUGCCCUUUUAUGCUAUUUUUGUUAAGUGGUGGUGGUAAAGAACUGGGAUUAUCUUUGCCAUGUGCGACCAGCUAAAGGCAGCAAGUUCAGUAAUCGUUCCUCUGUAAUGAUAAUAUUCUUAGAUUAUUUCAGUCUUAUUGGUUUGGAGUGUGCCACUUCUUAGUUUUUUUUUAAUUUGAUGCCACUUCAGUAAAUUAAACAAUGACAUCUCCAAUGCAUAUGCUACUUCUUUACUUCAAACUAUAGCAUGUGUUUUUAGUUUCAUCGAUUUUGAAUUAUGAGAGUCACUCACUCACUCACCAAUUCUGCUUGAUCCCUUACUCCUUGGCGCUCAGCAGGAAGAGCUCAGGCUGCCACCACACAAAUGGAUUUGUGGUGUUUCAAGUUAUGGCCAAUUAGCCUUGGUUUGGGAAAAUAAUAAGUACUGAUUAUGAUUAAUGACGCAUGAUAAAGUUUGUUACAAGUGUGUCCCUUUCUUCCUGUGUAUAUUUCAAAGUGGUACAAUGCAGCAUGCCAGCAUUUAUUUUUUUAUCAUCCUUUAGGAAGGAAGAAUUGCCUGCAUUCAGUUUUUUUUAUCAUCCUUUAGCUGGGAAGAAUUGUCUGGUUUCAAGGUUCCCUAUAUGCAUGCCAAGAAAAUGUUUAUGGAGCUAACUUCUAUGUUGUCAAAUGCAGAGUGACAGUUACCAAAUCAUAGUUUAUAUGUA